CCAGGUCAGCCCAUGACACCACAGUCCUAUCUUACAGGUGAGAGCCACCAGGCAUUCUUUAAAGGCAGGGCCCUCUGAGUCUCGUCAAGGAGUCUCAAUCAGGUGGCCUGUUGCUUGAUCUCCUGUGAUAAGCCCAUUUACCAUCCCUGCCCCUCUGAACCUUGUGACCCUUGCCUCAGUGCUCUGGCUGGGCACAUUCAGCUUCUCAAUUUCAUCGACUCCAGGCCAUAUUUAAAUCCAAGCUUCUAGGAGCUGGGCAGGCAGUACAUUAAGAUUCUUCUUGUGUCCUAGCCAAUAAUCUGUUUCCCAAGUAAUAGGCUUGCUCCCAGGUCAAUGAAUUCCUUUCCCAUCCAGAUUUAAAUUCUCAUCUCCCUAGUCCAACACCCUCAAAAUCCAUUUCCGGCAUGCUCUCCCAGGUCCUGCUCAGCCGUCACACUAGGGAUGUCAGGAAGAAGCGUCGUGAGCCAUAAAAGGGCACUCUUUUCCUUUCGGUAAUAUCAGAAAGAACCAUGAAGUUAUCAUGGAGCUGAUCUCUGGAUUCAAGGUCGUCGUCAUGCUGCACUGGUCUAGAUCCCAGCUCUUCAAACUGGUUCUUGGAUCCGUAGCAGCAACAUCAUCUGGGAGACUGCAGAAAAUGCGGAUCAUCCACCCUUGCGGAGACCCAUAGAAUCCGAGGCUGCAUUUUCACAUGGAUUGAGUAACACUGGUCUGGAUGAUCAUUGCUCUCAAACAAUUUUUAAAGCCAGGAAAUCUUUUAUUCAAAGGAAAUCUAAGUGGAAGAAUGCUACAAAGAUACUCAAUGGUGGGAUGCUCUGCUUUUCAGGCCUUAUGACAGGGAAACCUUAGUCCUUCUGAGGUGCCUUUGUCGCCCUCCACAACUUCACCCUGGUUUCUGCCGUCUUGAGUAAGGCAUAAUUGGAAAACCCCUGAUCUAGAGUGUCUUCAGAGUCUCGAAGCUAUACGGACACUAUAAAUGCACAAUGUUUCAUAAUUCAGACCAGCCUUCAAGUUUAUGAGAAGCAGAAUAGCAACCUUUGCCAUGACUAUAGACAUAUUAGUUUGGUGAAAACAUAAUUGCAGUUUCUGCCAUUACUUUUAAAAAACCGCAAUUACUUUUCCACCAACCUAACAGUUUCAUGGUGCCGUCAUGAACUUGUCUGGGCCAGUGGCUACCAAACUCGUCCAAUCAUCACAAUCAUUAGAGAAUGUUCUUUGAAAAAUGAAAAUCCUGUGGAAUCAGAAUUUCCAGGGGAAGUAAGCUGGUAGUCUAUUUAUUUAACAGUCUCCAGGUGAAUUGAAAAGAGUUACAGGAAAUUCAGCUACAACCUUCAAAAGAGCAAUAUCAUCUUUCUCAAGAGAUGCUUUUUGACUUGAGCUACUCAAAUAAAUGCUUCAACUGUAUACCUUUUAGUUAAACCCAGGUUUUUGCUUUAU